GACGAACGCUGGCGGCGUGCCUAACACAUGCAAGUCGAACGGAAAGGCCCUGCUUUUGCGGGGUGCUCGAGUGGCGAACGGGUGAGUAACACGCGAGUAACCUGCCCUUGACUUAGGGAUAACUUCAGGAAACUGGGGCGAAUACCGGAUAGGAGCUCCUGCUGCACGGUGGGGGUUGGAAAGUGUCGGCGGUUGGGGAUGGACUCGCGGGUUAUCAGCUUGUUUGUGGGGUAGGGGCUUACCAAGGCUUUGACGGGUAGCCGGCCUGAGAGGGUGGCCGGCCACAUUGGGACUGAGAUACGGCCCAGACGCCUACGGGAGGCAGCGGUGGAGAGUAUUACACAAUAGGCGGGAGCCUGAUGCGACAACGCCGCGUGCGGGAUGACGGCCUUCGGGUUGUAAACCACUUUCGCCUGUGACGAGGCGUGAGUGACGGUAAUGGGUAAAGAAGCCCCGGCUAACUACGUG
rnacentral:rRNA from 1 species